GAAAAUGCGAUACCUAGUGUGAAUUGCAGAAUUCCGCGAAUCAUCGAGUUUUUGAACGCAAGUUGCGCCCGAGGUUCGUACCGAGGGCAUGUCUGUCUGAGCGUCCU
rnacentral:rRNA from 1 species